rnacentral:rRNA from 1 species
GACGAACGCUGGCGGCGUGCCUAAUACAUGCAAGUUGAGCGAUGAAGAUUGGUGCUUGCACCAAUUUGAAGAGCAGCGAACGGGUGAGUAACGCGUGGGGAAUCUGCCUUUGAGCGGGGGACAACAUUUGGAAACGAAUGCUAAUACCGCAUAACAACUUUAAACAUAAGUUUUAAGUUUGAAAGAUGCAAUUGCAUCACUCAAAGAUGAUCCCGCGUUGUAUUAGCUAGUUGGUGAGGUAAAGGCUCACCAAGGCGAUGAUACAUAGCCGACCUGAGAGGGUGAUCGGCCACAUUGGGAAUGAGAACCGGCCCAAACCCCCACGGGGGGGAGCAGUAGGGAAUCCUCGGGCAUGGACGAAAAGUUGAACCAGCAACGCCGCGGGAGUUAAGAAGGGUUUCCGAUCGUAAAACUCCGUUUGUAGAGAAGAACGGUGGUGAGAGGGGAAAGCUCAUCAAGUGACGGUAACUACCCAGAAAGGGACGGCUAACUACGUG